rnacentral:lncRNA from 1 species
GCCUACCCCGAGGUUAUCCCCCCGACACCUGGCCAUAGACAAAUGUUGUCACUUGAUAACGGGAUCACAUCAUUAGGAGAAUGAUGUGAUGGACAAGACCAAACUAUAAACGUAGCAUGUGAUCGUGUCAUUUUGUUGCUAUUGUUUUCUGUAUGUCAAGUAUACAUUCUUAUGACCGUGAGAUCAUGUAACUCACUGACACCGGAGGAAUGCCUUGUGUGUAUCAAACGUCGUAACGUAACUGGGUGACUAUAAAGGUGCUCUAUACGUAUCUCUGAAGGUGUUCGGUUGAGUUAGCAUGGAUCAAGACUGGGAUUUGUCACUCCCUGUGACGGAGAGGUAUCACGGGGUCCACUCGGUAAUACAACAUGACAAACAAGCCUUGCAAGCAAUGUGACUAAAGAGUUAGCCAGGGGAUCUUGUAUUACGAAACGAGUAAAGAGACUUGCCGGUAACAGAUUGAAAUAGAUAUUGAGAUACCGACGAUCGAAUCUCGGGAAAAUAACAUACCGAAGGACAAAGGGAAUGGUAUAUGGGAUUUUAUGAAUCCUUGACAUAGAGGUUCAACCGAUAAUAUUAUCUAGAAUAUGUAGGAUCCAAUAUGGGCAUCCAGGUCUCG